rnacentral:rRNA from 1 species
GAUGAACGCUAGCGGGAGGCCUAACACAUGCAAGCCGAGCGGUAUUGUUUCUUCGGAAAUGAGAGAGCGGCGUACGGGUGCGGAACACGUGUGCAACCUGCCUUUAUCUGGGGGAUAGCCUUUCGAAAGGAAGAUUAAUACUCCAUAAUAUAUUGAUUGGCAUCAAUUAAUAUUGAAAGCUCCGGCGGAUAGAGAUGGGCACGCGCAAGAUUAGCUAGUUGGUGAGGUAACGGCUCACCAAGGCGAUGAUCUUUAGGGGGCCUGAGAGGGUGAUCCCCCACACUGGUACUGAGACACGGACCAGACUCCUACGGGAGGCAGCAGUGAGGAAUAUUGGUCAAUGGGUGCAAGCCUGAACCAGCCAUCCCGCGUGAAGGACGACUGCCCUAUGGGUUGUAAACUUCUUUUGUAUAGGGAUAAACCUACCCUCGUGAGGGUAGCUGAAGGUACUAUACGAAUAAGCACCGGCUAACUCCGUGCCAGCAGCCGCGGUAAUACGGAGAGUGCAAGCGUUAUCCGGAUUUAUUGGGUUUAAAGGGUCCGUAGGCGGACUUAUAAGUCAGUGGUGAAAGCCUGUCGCUUAACGAUAGAACUGCCAUUGAUACUGUAAGUCUUGAGUAUAUUUGAGGUAGCUGGAAUAAGUAGUGUAGCGGUGAAAUGCAUAGAUAUUACUUAGAACACCAAUUGCGAAGGCAGGUUACCAAGAUAUAACUGACGCUGAGGGACGAAAGCGUGGGGGGCGAACAGGAUUAGAUACCCUGGUAGUCCACGCCGUAAACGAUGCUAACUCGUUUUUGGGCUUUAGGGUUCAGAGACCAAGCGAAAGUGAUAAGUUAGCCACCUGGGGAGUACGCUCGCAAGAGUGAAACUCAAAGGAAUUGACGGGGGCCCGCACAAGCGGUGGAUUAUGUGGUUUAAUUCGAUGAUACGCGAGGAACCUUACCAAGACUUAAAUGGGAAUUGACAGCUUUAGAAAUAGAGCUUUCUUCGGACAAUUUUCAAGGUGCUGCAUGGUUGUCGUCAGCUCGUGCCGUGAGGUGUUAGGUUAAGUCCUGCAACGAGCGCAACCCCUGUCACUAGUUGCCAUCAUUCAGUUGGGGACUCUAGUGAGACUGCCUACGCAAGUAGAGAGGAAGGUGGGGAUGACGUCAAAUCAUCGCGGCCCUUACGUCUUGGGCCACACACGUAAUACAAUGGCCGGUACAGAGGGCAGCUACACAGCGAUGUGAUGCAAAUCUCGAAAGCCGGUCUCAGUUCGGAUUGGAGUCUGCAACUCGACUCUAUGAAGCUGGAAUCGCUAGUAAUCGCGCAUCAGCCAUGGCGCGGUGAAUACGUUCCCGGGCCU